AGCUAAUGACAAGAAUGAACUUGCGCCAUUUUAAGUUGGUUGCACCGCGCUGCUGGCUAGUGGCGCGUGCCAUUGAGUCGCUUACGAAUUAGCCGAAAAUAGUUGUAAAAUAAGCAAAAUACUUGCCAAUUUAGUGUUCUAGUACUGUUUAAGAUAAUCCUGUUCAUGGUGAUAGUGUUAUUCAGUUGAUUAAAGCCUUCUUACGCGUAUUUUCCCACUGUGUGAUGUAAUUAAGCAUUGGCAUGAACUGUGGUAGAAGUAUUUAGUGUUGUGUUUGUGUUCAUAUGAAACCGGAAGCUAGCUCACCAUUGAAUGUGGCGGAUCCGGAUGAUGCAAAGUCCUAAAGUGAAGAGCAGUGGCAAAAGAAAAAGUGAAAAAAGAAGAUUUGAUGGAAAGUUACCCCAGAUGGGACUCGAACCCACAAUCCCCGGCUUAGGAGGCCGGUGCCUUGUCCAUUAGGCCACUGGGGCGGUGUUAUGGUGCGUGCCAGUAGAAUGUUUUAAGCUUUCGGCCAUUUUUACCCGCCAAAACGGUCCUUCUGAAAUUUCCAGACGGUCAUUUGCGUUAAAUGGAGUUUUCGCGACCAACCCUACGUAUGAAACCUGAUGUAAAUCUGCGUCAACAGUGAAACAAAACGUCCACACAACGGGAGCGUCGGUGACAUAUGAGCCUACCUUGCAAAGAUGCUUGAAAAAUGACUAAAACAAACGAUGUUUGAGUUUGCUUAUUCCAGCUCAAAUCCAAUGUUUGAGAUAUUGCUCGAAUUUGCGUCUAUGUGACAAUAACUUCGAACGGCUGAUAGAACUUGUAAAAACUGGUAAAAUCUUGGCGACGAUAGGUGCGUCAUUGAUGAAAGAAACUGCACACUAACCUUGUGGUAUGUUGAAACAAUAGAAUGUUUUGGGCUAACAUCUAUCAAAGCAACUUUUAUGAUCAUCCUGUAUCCAAGAGGGAGAAGAAUCUGACCGCUAAGGCUCAGAACGAGCUGGCAGAAAAAAUUGGCAAAAGCCCGCUUAGGACCAGGUUAUUACGUUAUUACGGUGACAAUGUAUAACACAAUCAUGUUCGUUGAACGUAGGAUUCGAAUAACGUUUAACAUACUGAGUAAUCUGUUGAAUUUUUAAUUUCAUCACCGUUCAUAGCAAGGUUAUUUUAACUGCCAGCGUUAGUGCAAUUUAGCAUUUGUUGUUCUGACAAUCUAUCUGGCAAUGUAUAAUGUAUUGGCAAAACUCCUUCGCAUGACCUUACGCAUGUUUUUGUCACUGUCACACUGUCACCGAUUAUGCACACUUAAUUACUGAAAACCGAUUAACAGCACAGAGCUGAACAGGUUCUUUCGUACUGUUCUCUAAACGCUACUGCCAAUGAGAAAUGCCAUUGAGGAAAAAAAUAAACUCGUUCUGUUGGAUGAUCAAUAGCGGUAAGUAAAACAAACGCGGUGAAGGUAAGAUGAUAAUUUUUCAAAUAGGAAGAAAAUGUAAUCCACAUU